ensembl:lncRNA
GAUGUGAAUAAUAAUCAUAAUAAACCUUCAUAACUUUUGAAAGUUUCCAAAGAGUUUUCUUGUCUGUAUUUACUUUGUUCUUUCCUAACGUGCCCUGAGAUGCAGGCAGGGCUGGUGAUAUGGCCCCCAUUUUCCUGAUGGAGGACAUAGAGGCCCAGAAAUGAGAGCUGGCUUGUCUCCAGCCCUGAUCAGACCUGGACUCCUUGUCCAGGGCUCUUUUCACAUUGAGACAGAAUUGGGGUGAGAGAGAGAAGGAGAAAAAGUGCGUGGUGGGGCCUACAUGCCAAGAGGCUGGGAUGGAGACUUUUGAACAUUUUCUUGGGUAGGCCCAGAUAGGGAUCAGGGAGUCAGGUUCUGAAGAAGGAAGUAAACAUCAUGAUAUUGAAUGCCAGCCUGAGACUGAAACCCUGAUGAGAUCUGAGUGAGUCCUAGGACUUGCAAAGGACUGAAGGCACCACGGCACAUUAGCAAGCCUGCACGGCACUUUGCUUAUAUCCAAUGGCUGGUGCCAUGUGGCACAGUUGCUCUUUAGGAUCCUUUCAGGGCUCCCUGCUCUCUCAUGUCAACAUUUUUAACAGCUCACACUGGCCUCUGGGCACAUUUGUGCUCCUUUGGCCCAGGCUCACUUGCCCUGGUUUCAUCUCUCUGGUCUUUCCUUUCUCUGGUCCACCCCUGCUUCACCUCCUCCUUCCUGGGAUCCAGUUUUCUUUACUCACAGAUGUAACAAACUGCUUGCCAGAAGACACCUCACCACACCUCUGUCUUCUCAGAGUCUCUUGACUCAACAUCCACAACCUGAUGGGCCGGCAUUCUAGGGGUGCACUGUAUCCAGAAAGCUUGUGGAAGGUGAAAGUGGGAGCUGUACUUCCUACACUCUUCCAGCUCUAGAGUCACUGAUCCCGGUAAGUGGUAACUCCAGAGGGGCUUCUUCACCCCAAAAUGUCCCUCCCAUUGGCCUGUCACAUGCUCAAAAUCUUACCAUUACACAUCAUUUCCUUGACUUAAGCACUGUAUGUCCAGAUGCAAGAGGAGGAGGAACAUAUUAAGACACUAUUAUUCCUAAACACAUCAGCAUAAGACUUUAGUAGCUCAUUGUCUCCUGGGAGACUGAAUUUUACUGGUGAGAAGGAGGGAAGAACUGCUUAGAGUCUGGGUUAACUCAAGGAAGAAAACUGGGUAAGGCUAAUUCUCACCUAAAUUCUCACUUAAAUUGAAGAAAGUAGGGAAAAUCACUAGACUAUCCAGGUAUGACCUAAAUCAAAUCCCUUAUGAAAGUGAUAUAUAGUGUCACUUAUAGAGUGAAAGUGACAAAUAGAUUCAAGGGAUUAGAUCUGAUAGAGUGCCUGAAGAAUUAUGGACAGAGGUUCCUGAAUUGUACAGGAGGCAGUGACCAAGACCGUCCCCAAGAAAAAGAAGUGCAAAAAGGCAAAUUGGUUGUCUGAGGAGGCCUUACAAAUAGCUCAGAAAAGGAGAAGUGAAAGCAAAGGAGAAAGGAAAGAUAAACCCAUUUGAAUGCAGAGUUCCAAAGAACAGCAAGGAGAGAUAAGAAAGCCUUCCUCAGUGAUGAAUAUAAAGAAAUAGAGGAAAACAAUAGAGUGGGAAAGACUAGAGGUUUCUUCAAGAAAAUUAGAGAUACCAAGGGUACAUUUCAUGCAAAGAUAGGCACGAUAAAGGGCAGAAAUUGUAUGGAUCUAACAGAAGCAGAAGAUAUUAAGAAGAGGUGGCACGAAUACACAGAAGAAGUAUACAGAAAAGAUCUUCAUGACCCAGAUAACUAUGAUGGUGUGAUCUCUCACCUAGAGUCAGACAUCCUGGAAUGCAAAGUUAAGUGGGCCUUAGGAAGCAUCACUAUGAACAAAGCUAGAGAGGUGACGGAAUUCCAAUUGAGCUAUUUCAGAUCCUAAAAGAUGAUGCUGUGGAAGUGCUGCACUCAAUAUGCCAGCAAACUUGGAAAGCUCAGGAGUGGCCACAGGACUGGAAAAUGUCAGUUUUCAUUUCAAUCCCAAAGAAAGACAAUGGCCAAAGAAUGUUCAAAGUACUGCACGAUUGCACUCAUCUCACAUGCUAGCAAAGCAAUGCUCAAAAUUCUCCAAGCCAGGCUUCAAGAAUACAUAAACUGAACUUCCAGAGUUUAAGCUGAAUUUAGAAAAGCAGUGGGACCAGAGAUCAAAUUGCCAACAUCCAUUGGAUUAUCAAAAAAGCAAGAGAGUUCCAGGAAAACAUCUACUCCUGAUUUAUUGACUACACCAAAGCCUUUGACUGUGUAGGUCACAACAAACUGUGGAAAAUUCUGAAAGAGAUGGGAACACCAAACCACCUUACCUGCUUCCUGAGAAAUCUGUAUGCAGGCCAAGAAGAAAGAGUUAUAACUUGACAUGGAACAAGAGACUUGGUUCCAAAUGGGGAAAGGAGUACAUCAAGGCUAUAUAUUAUCACUCUGCUUGUUUAACUUAUAUCCAGAGUACAUCAUGUGAAAUGUGGGGCUGAAUGAAGCACAAGCUGGAAUCAAGAUUGCUGGGAGAAAUAUCAAUAAACUAAGAUACACAGAUGACACUGCCCUUUUGGCAGAAAAAGAAGAUCUAAAGAGUCUCUGAUGAACGCAAAAGAGGAGAGUGAAAAAGUUGGCUUAAAACUCAACGUUCACAAAACGAAGAUCAUGGCAUUGGGUCCCAUCACUUCAUGGCAAAUAGAUGGGGAAACAAUGGAAACAGUGACAGACUUUACUUUCUUGGGCUCUAAAAUCACUGCAGAUGGUGACAGCAGCCAAUAAAUUUAAAAGAUGCUUGCUCUUUGAAAGAAAAGCUAU